rnacentral:rRNA from 1 species
UAGAGUUUGAUCCUGGCUCAGGAUGAACGCUAGCUACAGGCUUAACACAUGCAAGUCGCGGGGCAGCAUGAAUUCAGCUUGCUGAGUUUGAUGGCGACCGGCGCACGGGUGAGUAACGCGUAUCCAACCUUCCCCUGUCCACGGGAUAGCCCGUCGAAAGGCGGAUUAAUACCGUAUGAGGUCACAUGCGGGCAUCUAAAUGUGACGAAAGGUUUUGCGGACAGAGAUGGGGAUGCGUCCGAUUAGGUAGUCGGCGGGGUAACGGCCCACCGAGCCGACGAUCGGUAGGGGUUCUGAGAGGAAGGUCCCCCACAUUGGAACUGAGACACGGUCCAAACUCCUACGGGAGGCAGCAGUGAGGAAUAUUGGUCAAUGGGCGAGAGCCUGAACCAGCCAAGUAGCGUGCAGGAUGACGGCCCUAUGGGUUGUAAACUGCUUUUAUGCGGGGAUAAAGUGAGGGAUGCGUCCCUUUUUGCAGGUACCGCAUGAAUAAGGACCGGCUAAUUCCGUGCCAGCAGCCGCGGUAAUACGGAAGGUCCGGGCGUUAUCCGGAUUUAUUGGGUUUAAAGGGAGCGUAGGCCGGCUUUUAAGCGUGUUGUGAAAUGCCGCGGCUCAACCGUGGCACUGCAGCGCGAACUGGAGGCCUUGAGUGCGCAGGAGGUAGGCGGAAUUCGUGGUGUAGCGGUGAAAUGCUUAGAUAUCACGAAGAACUCCGAUUGCGAAGGCAGCUUACCGUAGCGUUACUGACGCUGAAGCUCGAAAGUGCGGGUAUCGAACAGGAUUAGACACCCUGGUAGUCCGCA